UUCUGUAGUUAUUAAUAAAGACCUUGAAAAGAAUGUUAAUGACUGGAUUUAUUGAAAGUUCAUGGCUAUUGUAAAAAGCUGGCAUGAUGGAAUGGUGAAACAUGCCUUCAGUCAAGAGUUAUGCAUUUUGAGUUUUGCCCAGGAAUAUCAUUAACUCACUCCAUAUGCUUAGGCAAAUCGCUUACCCUUCUUUGAGUCUUUGUUCCCACAUUGUUCAGGUAAAGAGUUGCUAUGAAAGGUCCCUUUGAAUUUAACAUUCUAGAAAAGUUUUUCUGCUUCCUCUAUGCUAUGACACUGCAUUGUGAAUACAUUUCCUUGAUUAUACUUUUUAUUUUUCUCCAUUCUUGAAAAAAUUAAUUUUGUUUAUGUUCCUAGACUACAGAAUGAAAAAUGGAUGAAUGUCAAAGUGGGAGACAUCAUUAAAUUAGAAAAUAACCAAUUUGUUGCUGCUGACUUGCUUCUUCUAUCAAGUAGUGAGCCACAUGGUCUCUGUUACAUUGAAACUGCUGAGCUUGAUGGGGAAACAAACCUAAAAGUUCGUCAUGCAUUACCAGUUACCUCAGAACUUGGAGCAGAUAUUAGCAGACUUGCAAGGUUUGAUGGUAAAUGUUUUAAGUGUUUUAAACAGACAAACAAAAAUAUCAAAACCAAAAAACAAUGUAACAAGCUAACUAUCUGUGAUCUGGUUUAUGUUUCUUUUUACUGAGUGGAAGGACAUAAAAUUCUCUAAGUGUCAAAUCCUAGAAUGUCUUCUUAUGCUAAAGAGUAAAAAUAUAUUCCAAGAGGAGAAUGACUUUAUCAGUGCAUCAUUUAUUUCAACCUUUUUUCUUCUUAUCUAGAUCUCAGUCCCUUCAAUAUCAUAAUGCACUUCUCUUGCUUGACUUUGGACUCUCUGGAGCCCUGUGCAGACUUGCUAAGGAUGAAUACAGGCCAUACUUUUAUUUCUAAUUUUAGGUCUAAAUAUCCAUUUUAUGGUUCUAUAACAACUUCUGAUAACUGUGUAAAGACAGUCAUUCUGCUUCACAUUUUUCUGUACCUUGCAUAGUGCUUGGUAUAAUGUCUGGAAGAUAAUAGGUGUCUAAGGAGAAUAUUCUCAUUUAUAAAUCAGUUGCCUUUAUUUUAGACCAAGAUUUUAU